rnacentral:rRNA from 1 species
GAUGAACGCUGGCGGCGUGCUUAACACAUGCAAGUCGAACGGAAAGGCCUGUACUUGUACAGGUACUCGAGUGGCGAACGGGUGAGUAACACGUGGGUGAUCUGCCCUGCACUAUGGGAUAAGCUUGGGAAACUGGGUCUAAUACCAUAUAGGACCACGUCUUGGAUGUUGUGGUGGAAAGCUCUUGCGGUGUGGGAUGAGCCUGCGGCCUAUCAGCUUGUUGGUGGGGUAAUGGCCUACCAAGGCGGCGACGGGUAUCCGGCCUGAGAGGGUGUACGGACACAUUGGGACUGAGAUACGGCCCAGACUCCUACGGGAGGCAGCAGUGGGGAAUAUUGCACAAUGGGCGCAAGCCUGAUGCAGCGACGCCGCGUGGGGGAUGACGGCCUUCGGGUUGUAAACUCCUUUUAAAUAGGAAGAUUAUGACGGUACUAUUUGAAUAAGCAUCGGCUAACUACGUGCCAGCCGCCGCGGUAA